CAGAGAGGCUGAGGGAAUGGCCAAGGUCCCACAGCUAGGAAAUGGCAAAACCGGGUCCCCAGAAACAUGUAGGGCUCAGCCUGGGCCUGGAGGUGACGGCAGCGUUUGUCAGUGAGGAGAACCCGGGAAGGAGGUGCAGCUGGAAUUCUACCCUCGGCAUCUGGGGGACUGCAGGGCUUGUUCUCGCUCUCACGAGUGUCCCUGUGCAAGGCAGUAAGAACACAGGUGCUGACUAGGACGCCACCUGGGCCAGCCUCCUGGCUCAGGGACAGCAGGCACCAUCCUGAAUGGCACCGUGGUGAGCCGAGGUGCAGGAGGCCUGGCUGUCGUGGGGCUCUGCACCCUGGGGUGCUGCGGCUGCACUCCGCUGCCUACUCUCUCCCCACUGCAGCCAGCCUGGCAUGGCUGUCAGGAGCCAGCUCUCCUGGUGGGUCAGUCACCCACUGGGCAGAACUGGGACAGUCUCAUUUGUCUCCCAUCUUGCUCCUGACUUCUGAAACAAAUCUGCAGUUUGCUUUUUUUUUUUUUUUUUUUAAAUUACUUCCUGGUCCUGCCUCUGGUCCUGCCCCAUCUCCUGCAGUGCAGGGUCACUGGGGCAGUGCAGGGGCUGAGGAGAAAGGGCCCUGGCACGUGUCUACUGGGCCUCGUCCUUGCUAGGGCCCGUCUGAAGCGGGUGACCCCUGACUAUGCCAGGUUUCUGGAUCACAUCCUGCUCCCUCGAGUUCCCAGGUCCUUGUGUCUCCUAAAAAUAAAGGUGCCACUCACUGGGCGCUUCCUAGGCACCGAGCACCAUGCUGUGGGCUUUAAGGCACAGCCUCAUUUGAUCCUUCUAACAAUCCCAGGUGGAGAGUGAUCCUGCAUCCCCAUUUUUCUAGAUGUGUCCACAGAGGCUCAGAAGGAUGAGACUUGCCCUAGACCACGCACCCAGUAAAGGGCCAGGACAUGGGCACUAUGACUGAGG
rnacentral:lncRNA from 10 species